rnacentral:tRNA from 2 species
GGGGAUGUGGCUCUGUGGCAGAGUGCUUGCCUAGCAGGCAUGAGGCUCUGGGUUUGAUUCUCAGCACAACCU